rnacentral:misc_RNA from 1 species
UCAAACUAACCAAACUUAUCCAUUCCCAUUGCAUUUAUAAUCCACAUUGCAUUAAAAGCCUCUGAAAGCAGACAGGCACAAUGGAGACCUUGUCUUGCACGUCAGCAUGUACAAAUACAAAAACAAAUACAAAAUUUGCCAAAAAUUAUCAACCGUAACAUUGUACAGAAGCUAGUGACAAUCAAGCCAAAUCCUAUGGAUCCAAUCUAUAUGACAAUUACAAAGAUUGAAAAAAGGAUUACACUACGCGCCUCACUGUACAAACAAGUCUCCAGCAGGGUUAGGUUUUUGGUAGCUGUAGACCAACAAUUGAGCUUUCAUCCGCUGAUCCAAAUUUAUGGUGAGCUUCUUGUUGAAGAAUUGGUGGCCCUAAGGUGUUAUGAAGACUUUUACAACUUGUAUGCUCUCACCGUCUCUCACUUGGUUCCAAUGCCUCGUUAGAAUCUCCGCACUUUUUUAAGGCAGCCCUUAUUUCCUUCAACAUCUCAUUCAACCUGAUGCCUUUCCUGGAAAACACCCCAAAAGAAGAUUUAAUAGAAAAUAAAAGUUCAUAAACAAUAGUCAUUGAGAUAUUGCUUCAGCAGACUCAUUUUUUUUAUCUUCCUACAAAAUGACAAUAUCCACUAGACAUUCAUGUGACUGACUGGACAUGGCAAAUGGUUUUCAAGAACCCACCCUCGGUCUUACAAUGUCUAGGAAUAUAGGAAUAAACAAAAUGUGCAAUGAACUUACAGAACACUAACACCCACAACAGCAAGAGGGGCUGGAUAGUCCUCUAUUUCUUUAUCAGUUUUAGGGGCUGGAUGGUCCUCUCUCUCCUUACCAGAUUUAUCUCCAUUAUUGACCUGAGAAGAAAAUUUAUUUUCACUGUCAUCUUCAGUAAAUAAUUGUUGAAAUGCAUUAUUAGACAUCAUUUCUGGCUCAGAAGUACCUUGUCACUACGAAUUCUUGAUAUUUCUUCAGUUAAAGAUGAAAGCCUAUCCCUUGCCUAAAAGAGCAACCAAUGCAUAUCUUAAAAUUACAGCAAGAACGCAUGAAAUUUUCUAUAACCACAUCACCAGCAGCAACAAAGACCACAUCUGAAAAGAAAAGAUCAAGGCCGCACAUGGACAUACCUCAGGAAGGUCAAUCUUAUUUAGGACCACAAUAUAUGGUCUUUCAAGGUACUCAGGAUUGUACAUCCUCAAUUCCUGUAGAUUCGUAAUCCAUUAAUUAGGAGUGGUCCAACAACUUGCAACAGAAAGGAAAUGACAAUGCAACAGACAGCAAGGAGAUUUCCAUAGUCUAUACUUAUUAUACAAAGAAAGGAAGCAAGGUGGGAAAAAUUCCAACGCGAGGACAGACACUUCAUAACUCCACACAAGAUCAUAUUCAUAGACAAAUUUAACGAGUUCAAGUUUUCUUCCUCCUCUUCCUUUCCGCUUUUCUUUGGAAUUCUCAUUAACCAGGAGCAUUCUGAAUCCUAUGAGAUUACGUAUAAUGGAUUCAAGCAUGGAGAUCCUGAUCAAAUCUGAUUGAUAUGCUAACAUACCAACAGAAGAAAUUAACAUGAGCAUGAGAAAUGUAUAAUCAAGCAAAAUGAGCAUAUGAAUAAUGAGAUAUAUACAUCUUUGAUGGUUCUAUAAUCAUUCACAGGGUCCUCAGCGGCUGCAUCAACAACAUGGACCAAUAGCCGAGUUCUUCUAAGGUGCCUCAAAAAGUUACGACCAAGACCCUUCCCCAAAUGAGCACCUUCUAUAAGACCAGGCAAAUCUGCCAUUGUUGCUUCAGAUGAAUACAUUGCUGCCCCUAAAGUCGGAUCACCAUCUAGGCGCCCAAGAUUUGGCAUCAACGUUGUAAAAGGAUAAUCAGCAAUUUCAGGUUUAGCAUUUGUUAUAGCUGCCAAGAGUGUCGAUUUUCCAGCAUUUGGAAGACCAACUAGACCAACAUCAGCAACAAUUCGUAGAAUCAAGUCCAAACUAACCUCUUCCCCAGGCUGACCAAAAACUAGAACCUUAUCAUUGUCAUCUCUUAACACAUUUGUGGUUAAAGCCAUUAAUCUUUUCCUCCUAUGAUCUGGUGCUUCUAGCAAACUAAUCUGCUCCAAAAACCAAUAUAAACAACUUGUGAAUUCCUCAGAAAAAAUGAGCAUAAACGCUGAGCGUUAAGCUGAAUAGUAAUACCAAUAUGCCACAAGUGUGUUCACUGUUAAACAGAAUAAGACUUGUAAUACAAUAAUUUUCUCAGACCUUUCUCCAAUUCUCUGAAAUCCUUUACAAAUUGAAAAUAAUCCUAUCUCCAACAAGCAAAAAUAAUCAUAGUAGAUGUGCAAGAAUAUCCUAUGGGAAGAAAAGAAAGAAAACAAACCAUUCUUGACACAUUCAUAUAAUAAAACAAAGAUGCUAUUCCAAAAUUUCACAUGAAAGCAUGAAAAUCUAACCCCUCCUAGGCCACCCCUUGCAAUAAGUACUUCAUCGCCUGGUUGUGCUAAAUCAGCCAGUAGCUUCCCUCUUUUAUGCUUGACGACAGUGCCUACAGGCACAGGGAUACGCAAAGUUGGGGCAGCGAAUCCAUCAUGCAACUGUGAUGUCAAAACACCCAUAGUAUCAACAUUUCCACCGCGUUUUGCAUUAAAGCGGCCUUUGGAGUGAAACUCCAAUAAGGAAUGUUUUCCCUCGUCUGCAUAAAUCACUACAUCCCCUCCAUGCCCACCCGAGGGAAGAACAAGUGACCCAUCAAAAUCUCUUUUAUACGAGCUCUUCUUCCUUGUUUUGUCUUUAUCUUUCCCCUUUGACUUAUCAGAUCUCUGGUUAGGUAAGCUAAGAAUUGCGCCGUGGCCUCCAUCUCCAGAACGAACCGUGAUUAUCACCUGAUCGAAAUACUUGUGAGGUUCUCUUAUGAAUGAAGAAGAAUUCACCGGAGUAGCCUCUUUGGACCUAGUAACUCUGCACUUAACCGUGUAGGGCGUGAAGCCAUCAUAAUUGUCAUUGCGAUGACAACACCUAUACAUAACAAGCAACCAAUGGAGUCAUUUCUCUCUACCUUCCAUCACGAAAGCCAAAACCAUAAAUGGUAGAAGCAAGAGAAUACCUUUUAGGAAGAAGAUGAGCGAAGAAUAGCUUAUCGUUACCAAAUUGGAGGCUGAGAAACGAAGAUGACGGAAGAGUAGCCAUUCAGAGUGUAGACCAUUGUCGUUGAGAAAAAGAGACGCGGAGAUUUUUCGGGGUUUAGUUAUGUUAGGGUUUCGGCCCACUUAUAAUAUGGAAUUGACUCGCUCUUUACAAGCCCAAGAAAUACGUUGCUGUAAGAACGCGUUAUUGCUAAAGCGAAAUCUUUCGGCCCUACAAAUCGUUUUUAAGCCCAAAAUGGCCCUUUUAUUUUCAAGCACAUUCGUUGAAAAGGACCGGUUAUCACUUUGCAACAAUGCUCACUGCACUGAGUAAAUGAAUAACGCCGGCCACGGUCCUCUUUCCACCCCGUUCCAGAUUCG